AAACUAUAAUUAAACCUAAAUAAAACAAUCUAGAAUUUUCUUAAAGAGAAAGCAGAUUAAUCUCUCUCUAUCAUCUACGUAAAUUCUCUCUAUUUCCGCGUUCUCUCUUUCUCUGCUCUCUACCGUCCCUCUCUCUCUCCCUUCGCCCCUCUCUGCCGGCUCCCUUCUUCCCCAUCUCACCGGGACGUCGCUGGUUCUCGCCGCCUCCGGCGCGGCGAGGCAGGCCCCUGUUCUUCCCCCUUCUUCCUUUCUCUUCUCUUCCCCCAAUUUCCCAGGCUACCACUACCUAGGGUUUUGAAGUUUCCUCUUUUAAAUCUGCUCCUCCGGUGAACUCCACCGCCACCGCCGCCGUUCCCGUCGCGCGGCCGCCCUACAAUCUCAGGAACAAAUUACUCCGGCGUGGAAGCUCGUCUACCGAUACUGCAGCUCAAGUUUCUACCUUUUACUUGUUCUGUAAAUUUAUUCUCUUUUGCUGAUUUACUGAGAAAUUGAUAUUUGAUGGGGAAAAGCAUACUGUUUUGUAGAAGAAAUUAGAGUUAGGGACUGUUGCAACUAUGCUUGUAUCUACUUGGUGUAGCUAUUAUUCAUCUCUAUUGUUCUUAGUUGCUACUGAAUUAGGAAGUGUAAUAAGAGAUACUACCUGUGAAUUGGACCUGCUGUGCUGCCGAAGAUUGUUGUAACAGAUGAUGGCAGAGUUGAGAAAAUUUGGUUGGAUUGGCUCAUGGUAUUAUAUUGAAUUUAUUGGCGGUUUAACACCAGCCGACUAAAAA